rnacentral:lncRNA from 1 species
ACUCACCAACUAGUCAUGCGCCUCGGAUGCCGCCGGCCACGGGGCUCCCGGAGGGGGGUCCGACACCGCCCGGUGCCCGGGAUCCCCAAUCUGGCCGGUGGAUGAGGCCCCAUCCCAUGCACCCGAGUGCGGGGGACGGGGGGGUUAAUAUUAAUUCAGGAUCCCAUCCCCACCCGAGGCAGGACACCCAGUGCACGCCCCAACUCCGGGACGCGGGCUCUGACCCUGGAACUUCCGAGAUUCCCGCGACGCCCCCUGUCUCUGGGUCCAGAACUUCGGGGGACACCUCUUCUGCCUCCUCCAACCCCAGAGAUGGGGUGUCACUAUGUUGCCCAGGCUGGUCUCCAACUCCUGGACUCAAGAGAUCUGCCUGCCUCAGCCUCUCAAAGGGCUGGGAUAACAGAUGUAAGCCACUGCAUCUGGCCUCCAAUGAGUUGUUAUGUGAAGAGAACGUGAUUAAGUUAGAGGACUCCAACCAGGCCUGAACUCUCAAGGACAGAAAUGGGUCCAACCUGGCAUGACAUCCUCUAAAUCUUUAGCUCCUGGCCUCUCAGGUGCCCCCUCCAGCUACCUCCCUCUUCCUUCUCUUCAUUCCCCAAGCCAUAGCUGGUUGGGCCAACCUCCAGACAUUAGCCUCUUUGCAAACUCCUAUUCAUCCCUCAAAGCCUCACCUUCAAUGCUCUCCUCCCCAAGAAGCUCUCUCCUCUACCUCUAGACCUUUUCCAGCCCUCUUCCCUCUUUCUGGCCCAGCCCUGACUCCUGGGAGUGUCUGUGUGCAGCUUUGACUCCCCCAGCCUGAGUGUCUCUCAAGGGCUGAGACCAGGGCCCAUGUUUCCCUAGAGUUUGUCAUCUUCCAGCAUAGUGUGGACGCAUGGGGGUCAGGCAAAGGGGGAGUUUGAUGACUCAGUACUAUUGGUGAUUUUGCAUCACUUGAAGGAGACCCUGCCUUAAAUUCAGAACUUGA